rfam:Ipomoea nil DNA, scaffold: scaffold3172, cultivar: Tokyo-kokei standard.
GAGAGCCGGAUGAGGGGAGACCUUCACGUCCAGUUCGGAGGGCGGAAAUACCCCGACCCUGC